UCAGCGAUGAGGGAUCCGAGGCAGCCACCGCGCCGCCAGCCCCAUGCAGCUCGGUUGGCAGGCCCGUGCGGCUCGGUUGCCACCCCCGUGCAACUCGGUUGCCACGGCCGGCCUCCAAAGCCUCCUCCCCAUCCCCGACACUUGACGACGCCGCCCCGCCAUCCCUUCACCGUGAUGCACGCGAGAUACACCGCUCCAAGGGUCGUCUCUCCUUCAACCGACGACGGUCGCGGAGUGCACUCGUCCCUCUCUCUCUUCCACUGGAGUUUGCUAUGCGUUGUUCUUCCGGUUGAUUUUUCAGGUUUUUUCCAGUUAAGUUUUUAAAAGGAAAUCAGUUCCUUGUCCUGAGGUGUGCAGUUUACUUGUGCAUAUUUCCAUAUAAUUUUGCACUUACUCCUGCAGUGCACUCGGUGCGGUCCGCUCUGACCGUUCCUGCAAUUUAUAUGGGAGCUUGAUGAGGUUCACAUUCAAAAUGCGCGACUCGACAGAGGUUCAGCAGCACAUCUCGUGCAGCUCGAUUUGCACAGGUGUGCGGUUUUGUAUAUCGCCCCUUGCAGCUCGGGUAUGGUGGCGUAUAGUUUGUGCACUUUUUUUUACUACAAGUUGUGCAUCAUGCGGUCUGAUGUGUAAAGGCAUUGACCAUGCAGUACUCGGAUGAACGUAUGUCUCAUGCGGUACUGGGAUGUAAUUUCCGUGGGGGUUGCAUAUUUUUAUGAAUUUGUUGUGACAUAUGAUGUGUGGUUGCUGGAUGUACUUCUUUUCGAAGCACUAUUGGUUGUUUCUAGAGGUUCAUUCCAUCUUUCUCAAGCUGUUCAUUUUGAUGAAAGAAAAAAAGUUAGAAAAAGAAACUAAUGCAGUGCACUAGCCUCUACUCUGGAGUCCGGACGCGUUAACACAAAGAAGAAAAAAAGGACAAAAUAGAAGAAUGCAGUGCACUUGGCUCGUUACUACAGUCCUGAAACAUGUUAAAGAAAAACAUUGUCCAAAAAAACGUGUUACA
rnacentral:lncRNA from 1 species